AAGCUGGCUGCAUUUCUCAAACAAAGCUGCAGCCUGAGUGUCCUUAGGGGGCAGAAAUACUGGAGGGUUCUAAAACACAGUCCCUCCACAGGAGUUAAAUCAUGUGCCAGUUCAGGGAUUCACUUCUGGAGGGAGAAACCUGAUUUAUUUCAUGAGGGAUGGUGUGAGAGGCCGAAAACUCUUGGCCUCAGCAAUGCUCUGCAGGAACAGUACAGUCCUUGGGAGGAACACUCAUCUCUCUGGGUGGAGCAGCAGCAGAUCUAAAGAUGUGCCAUCUGCUCAGAUGUGACCAAAUGAGAUUCUGUAGACGUGAUGUUGAAACUGGGACAGAUAAGAUGACAACAAGUAAGGGCUGCGAGCUCACCCUGAAGAAGAUGGAAUGUUUUAUGCAAAUCUAUUUUAACACAUUGCUCAGUUGUGACCUUCCCAUCUGAUACAAUGGUUCACAGAUGGGCUCCAGAGGGAAUAUCAUCAGGCUUUUGGAUGGAUGAUGGCUAUCACUGUGACACCUUGGAGAGACUGAGGAUGUAAACCAGUUCAAGGGCAGAGUGUCUCCAGACUUCCAUUGCUCAAGUACAUAUUGUCAGGAAAAGAGCAAGAUAACUGAAAGUUCCUAAUAUUUUAAAUAAUUGUGACCUCGGGGCUCAUUCUUUCAUUGUGUAAUAAUGAGACAUUUAAAGUUUUACUAGUGUAACAAUUAACAGUUGGUUCUCCUUGAAUGGUUACCAGACUGUUGAGUGUUAAUUUCAUAAAUCUCUUACUUAUUUCCCAAUUAUUUCCAACCUUUGAAAAAAAUCAUUCACUAAUAAUUUAGCUACAUUUUUUUCUACUGUCACCAAUUAGUAUUGCAGAUAUAAAAAAUAAAAAAUACAUAUCAAGAAAGUCCAGAGGUUAAUCAUAUGUUAUAUAUACAUAAGGCAAGAGCUAAGCUAGUGCCAGACAGCAAUUCUUCAGCACUUGGAAUGAGUUUUAGUUGUAAGGUAGUUGGAUAAUUAAAUACUAACAGACAGUGGAAGUAAAUUAGCAAGCUUAGAAAAAGAGCCAAAAGAGCACAUGGCUCUACAAUGAAGGAAGACCCAUUGACAUGUGGGAAAUAAAGGGGGAAGAUCUCAUGGGAAUGACUUUACCUGAAGGAGCCAAAAGGAGAAAAAGACACGUUACAGAAUAUGAAUUCUCUUUUGCCUAUCUCCCAUUUCCUUGACUAUGAAGUAUUUUCUCUAUAUAAAGGAUACAAGAAAGACCCUGUUGUUGGCAAAUUUCAUUGUCUAACAGAAGAGAAGGGAGAACAUUUCACCAGAACUGUCUCACUCCCUCGAACGAUCUCCAUCUAUAUUUAUAUAUUCCUAUUCCUUAUGGAAUAGAAACCGUGUUAGUGGAAAUAAUGUUUUCUUUGGGUUGGUUUGAUUUAGUUCAGGUUGUUCUACUUUAUUAAUAUUCUUUUAGUUUAGAUUUAGUUUAAUAGCAGGAGCAUAUAUGAAACAGAAGCAGAAAAAUUGUAUUUUCCUCAAUAAUGGAAUUUCUGAAAUGUACAGCUAUGAGUGGACUUCUUAAGCCUGGACAAAGUAUGUUGAGACCGUUUAAGUAUAACAUUGCAAAGAGUCUCACCUGCCUAGUUACUAAUACUGUUAAGUUGCCUCUUUGGGCUGCUAAAUUAGGAGACCUGAUUAAAUAUAUGGCAAAUAUUGCUGUUGUCAGUCAUGGAGUCCCCACCUUCACUCCCAACACACACACACACACCUCCCUCUCUCUCACACACACACACAUACACACAGCAUCUUCAUCUUUUGGACUCUAGUAAAAUGCUAACAUGUUAACUAUUAAGUAAGGGCAGAAUGGGAGUUCCCAUUGGGGCUUAGCAGAAAUGAAUCUGACUUAUAUCCAUGAGGAUGCAGGUUUGAUCCCUGGCCUCUCUCAGUGGGUUAAGGAUCCAGUGUUUCUGUGAGCUAUGGUGUAGGUUGCAGAUGUGGCUCAGAUCUGGCAUUGCUGUGGCUGUGGUAUAGGCCAGCAGCUGCAGCUCCAAUUCAAAACCUAAGCUGGGAACUUCCAUAUGCCAUGAGUGUGGCCCUAAUUAGACAAAAAAAAAAAAAAAAAAAAAAAAAAAA
rnacentral:lncRNA from 1 species